rnacentral:lncRNA from 1 species
GACUCCAAACCCGAGACCCGAAUCCGAACCCGAAUCCGACGGAUUUUAAAAAUCCAUAUCCAAAUCCGAACCCGAUCAAAAAUCCGAAACCCGAACCUGAACCCGAACCCGAAAAUUUGAACCCGAAACAUUCAUUUCUUUUUUCAAUAUUUCAAAAUAUAUUAUAUUAAAUCUAAAUUUUUAAAAUACAAAUUCAAAUAUAACAUCAAAUUUAUAUAUAUAUAUUAUAUAUAAUACAAAAUAAAUUCGGGUUCGGGUCGGGUUCGGGUCCGGGUCGGGUCGGGUAUAAUCAAAAUCCAUAUCCGAAUCCAUAUCCGUCGGGUUUCUAUUUUUUAUAUCCAUAUCCGAAUCUAUAUCCAUAUCCAUCGAAUAUAUCCGUUUCAUUCAGGUUCAGGUUCGGAUAAAAUUUCAGGUAUCCAUACCCAUUGACAUCCCUAAUCUUUACUAGUUUGAAUGAUACAAGUACUAUUCACAUAAAUUAAUAUUCUAUU